AAAAAGAUAAGCUAAGCUUUUCAAGCUAAUGGGUUCAUACCCCAUCUAUAGAGUCAAUCUCUUCUUUUUA
rnacentral:tRNA from 1 species